rnacentral:rRNA from 1 species
UGGCGGACGGGUGAGUAAUAUAUCGGAACGUGCCCAGUAGUGGGGGAUAGCCCGGCGAAAGCCGGAUUAAUACCGCAUGAGACCUGAGGGUGAAAGCGGGGGAUCGCAAGACCUCGCGCUAUUGGAGCGGCCGAUAUCAGAUUAGCUAGUUGGUGGGGUAAAGGCCUACCAAGGCAACGAUCUGUAGUUGGUCUGAGAGGACGACCAGCCACACUGGGACUGAGACACGGCCCAGACUCCUACGGGAGGCAGCAGUGGGGAAUUUUGGACAAUGGGCGCAAGCCUGAUCCAGCAGUGCCGUGUGCAGGAAGAAGGCCUUCGGGUUGUAAACUGCUUUUGUCAGGGAAGAAAUCUUCUGGGUUAAUACCUCGGGAGGAUGACGGUACCUGAAGAAUAAGCACCGGCUAACUACGUGCCAGCAGCCGCGGUAAU